GCCGCCCAAGCCUUGGCUAGGCGCGCGCGCGCACGGGGUCGGGCGCUCCCGGGCGGCGGUGGCACCACGUAGCCGCCUCCUUCCACCGCUCGCUUUAUCCCCGCCCCUUCUCGGGCCAACCCCAAGCGCCGCUGACCCCGAACGUCGCUGCGGGGUAGGUAGGGGGUGGGAGGGUGGAGGACCGCAGGCGAGAGGGAGAAGGAAGGGCGCCCGGGGAGCAGGCUGGCAGAGUGACCGGGAUUGAUGAGCGGCGCAGCUCUGGAGGGACGCGGGCGAGAGGGUCGCUCCUCGGGGAGAGGGCUGGAUAGAUGGAAUGUACAGCCAGAGGAUUGGAUGAGGUCAUCGACGGAGAGAAUGCAGAGAGAAUCCUGGGGCUCACCAACAUGAAGAAUUUGGGACAAGAAAGAAGAUCCAGCAGAGAAGACUGAAAGAAGGCAACUAAUGAAAUAGGAGAGAACCUGGAGAGCACAGAGUCUUAGAGGCCAAGAAAGUGGUUUAAUAUAAUCCGUAUCAAAGCAUUUGUGGUUUAUUUUUGUUAACUGACAAAAGGAUUCUAAAACAUACCUGAAAAGUAUAAUUCACACCUAGGAUAAUGGAUCAUUCUGUCACAUUGUUCCUUUUUCACAGCUGAUAUGAACAUGAUAUUUUCAUGACUUUGUAAAAUAAAAAUGGAAUCUUUCUAAUUUUUUUAAAAAAACUGCUUACUUAUGCAAGCCUUCUGUCUCUCACUGUAUAACCCCUCCACUUUUAUACGGGUCACACAUGUUUCUGUCACUUUCCUGGAGCCCUUGUAGCAAAUUAAUAACAUGUAGCACAUGCUUGAAGAAAAAUUUGUCUAGGACAUUUUGUUUUUGAGAUUCAUAAAUUGACUCUAUUUUACAUAAGAAUCUAUUAUGCCAUAGGAAGCUUAUUAAACCCUUGAGCAGGAACAAAUUAUUCAAUAAAUGGUGAUGAGAUGA
rnacentral:lncRNA from 1 species